rnacentral:rRNA from 1 species
AUUGAACGCUGGCGGCAUGCCUUACACAUGCAAGUCGAACGGUAACAGGUCUUCGGAUGCUGACGAGUGGCGAACGGGUGAGUAAUACAUCGGAACGUGCCUAGUAGUGGGGGAUAACUACUCGAAAGAGUGGCUAAUACCGCAUGAGAUCUACGGAUGAAAGCAGGGGAUCGCAAGACCUUGUGCUACUAGAGCGGCCGAUGGCAGAUUAGGUAGUUGGUGGGAUAAAAGCUUACCAAGCCGACGAUCUGUAGCUGGUCUGAGAGGACCAUCAGCCAAACUGGGACUGGGAGACGGGCCAGACUCCUACGGGAGGCAGCAGUGGGGAAUGUUGGACAAUGGGCGCAAGCCUGAUCCAGCAAUGCCGCGUGCAGGAUGAAGGCCUUCGGGUUGUAAACUGCUGUUGUACGGAACGAAAAGCCCUGGGUUAAUACCCUGGGGUCAUGACGGUACCGUAAGAAUAAGCACCGGCUAACUACGUGCCAGCCGCCGCCGUAAAAC